rnacentral:rRNA from 1 species
AUUAUGGCUCAGGAUGAACGCUAGCUACAGGCUUAACACAUGCAAGUCGAGGGGCAGCAUUGGGAUAGCUUGCUAUCCAGAUGGCGACCGGCGCACGGGUGAGUAACGCGUAUCCAACCUUCCCUAUAGUAGAGAAUAGCCCGGCGAAAGUCGGAUUAAUGCUCUAUGUUGUGUUUUUGAGGACAUCUGACGAACACCAAAGGUUCACCGCUAUAGGAUGGGGAUGCGUCUGAUUAGCUUGUUGGCGGGGUAACGGCCCACCAAGGCGACGAUCAGUAGGGGUUCUGAGAGGAAGGUCCCCCACAUUGGUACUGAGACACGGACCAAACUCCUACGGGAGGCAGCAGUGAGGAAUAUUGGUCAAUGGGCGAGAGCCUGAACCAGCCAAGUAGCGUGCAAGGACGACUGCCCUAUGGGUUGUAAACUGCUUUUAUCAGGGAAUAAAGUGCGGCACGUGUGCCGUUUUGUAUGUACCUGAUGAAUAAGGACCGGCUAAUUCCGUGCCAGCAGCCGC